AAGUCGUAACAAGGUUUCCGUAGAAUAAGUCUCGGAGCAUAUGAUUCUUCCACAGUGAAGCUUAUAGAAGCCUUUGCAGCCUGGCAACAGGUAGCCUUGCGACUCUAAAUAAUAGGGCCUUAUGCAAGUCAGAGGGAGUAUCCUUCUGGCAACACAACCGAACUGACGGGGACACCUUAAAGCCUACUCCACCAACCGACCCAGGAAACCGGGUUGGGGCCCAUGUUAACAGCAUGGGGUAUGGUAAGAGAGAGUCGGGAUGUUACAAUAGGUAAUCCGCAGCGAAGAUCCUAAGUGCAGCGCAUACGGAUAACGUUCACAGACUAAGUGGUUGUGGGCACGGUAGAGACCGUGCUUUAGAUAUAGUCGGGACCCUGGGGAGACCUAGGGAGUAAUAUCACUACAUAUCCGUUCCGUAGGUGAACCUGCGGAAGGAUCAUUACAGAGUUCAUGCCCUCACGGGUAGAUCUCCCACCCUUGAAUACUAUACCUUUGUUGCUUUGGCGGGCCGCUUCGGCUACUGGCUCCAGCUAGUGAGUGCCCGCCAAAGGAUCCCAAAACUCUGAAUAUUUGUGUCGUCUGAGUACUAUGUAAUAGUUAAAACUUUCAACAACGGAUCUCUUGGUUCUGGCAUCGAUGAAGAACGCAGCGAAAUGCGAUAAGUAAUGUGAAUUGCAGAAUUCAGUGAAUCAUCGAAUCUUUGAACGCACAUUGCGCCCCUUGGUAUUCCGAGGGGCAUGCCCGUUCGAGCGUCAUUAUAACCCCUCAAGCCCAGCUUGGUGUUGGGGCCUGCUGUUACCGGCAGCCCUUAAAAUCAGUGGCGGUGCCAUCUGGCUCUAAGCGUAGUAAUACUUCUCGCUACAGGGUCCUGGUGGAUGCUUGCCAUCAACCCCUAAANUUCUAUGNUGACNUCGGAUCGNGUNNGGANANCCNCUNAACUUAAGCAUAUCAAUAAGCGGAGGAAAAGAACCANCAGGGAUUGCCUCAGUAACGGCGAGUGAAGCGGCAACAGCUCAAAUCUGAAAUCUGGCUCUUUCAGGGUCCGAGUUGUAAUUUGUAGAAGAUGCUUCGAGUGUGGUACCGGUCUAAGUUCCUUGGAACAGGACGUCAUAGAGGGUGAGAAUCCCGUAUGUGACUGGUCACCUUUGCUCAUGUGAAGCUCUUUCGACGAGUCGAGUUGUUUGGGAAUGCAGCUCAAAAUGGGUGGUAAAUUUCAUCUAAAGCUAAAUAUUGGCCAGAGACCGAUAGCGCACAAGUAGAGUGAUCGAAAGAUGAAAAGCACUUUGGAAAGAGAGUUAAACAGUACGUGGAAUUGUUGAAAGGGAAGCGCUUGCAACCAGACUUGCACGUAGUUAAUCAUCCGGGGUUCUCCCCGGUGCACUUGGCUACGUUCAGGCCAGCAUCGGUUUUGGUGGUUGGAUAAAGGCUUAGGGAAUGUGGCUCUCUUCGGGGAGUGUUAUAGCCCUAGGUGCAAUGCAGCCCACUAGGACCGAGGACCGCGCUUCGGCUAGGAUGCUGGCGUAAUGGUUGUAAGCGACCCGUCUUGAAACACGGACC
rnacentral:rRNA from 1 species